CCGAGUCUCGUACUCACCAAACCCCUGUGAACAUACCAGUGUUGCUUCGGCGGUCGACCCCUCCGCCUCCCCCUCACCGGGGCGGCGCGGGGUUCCGCCAGAGGACCCUACAAAAACCCUGUUUUCUUAGAAAGGAUUCCGCUCUGAGUAACAAAAAAAAAACCAUUA
rnacentral:misc_RNA from 1 species